rnacentral:rRNA from 1 species
UGGGGAAUAUUGCACAAUGGGCGCAAGCCUGAUGCAGCGACGCCGCGUGAAGGAUGAAGGUCUUCGGAUUGUAAACUUCUAUCAGCAGGGAAGAAUAAAUGACGGUACCUGACUAAGAAGCACCGGCUAACUACGUGCCAGCAGCCGCGGUAAUACGUAGGGUGCGAGCGUUAUCCGGAAUUACUGGGUGUAAAGGGUGCGUAGGCGGCUAUUUAAGUCAGAUGUGAAAACUCAGGGCUCAACCUUGAGGCUGCAUCUGAAACUGAGUAGCUAGAGUGUGGGAGAGGAAAGUGGAAUUCCGAGUGUAGCGGUGAAAUGCGUAGAGAUUCGGAGGAACACCAGUAGCGAAGGCGGCUUUCUGGACCAUAACUGACGCUGAGGCACGAAAGCAUGGGGAGCAAACAGGAUUAGAUACCCUGGUAGUCCACGCUGUAAACGAUGAAUGCUAGGUGUUGGGGGCGACAGCUUUCAGUGCCGU